UACGAAGGGGGCUAGCGUUGCUCGGAAUCACUGGGCGUAAAGGGCGCGUAGGCGGCCGAUUAAGUCGGGGGUGAAAGCCUGUGGCUCAACCACAGAAUUGCCUUCGAUACUGGUUGGCUUGAGACCGGAAGAGGACAGCGGAACUGCGAGUGUAGAGGUGAAAUUCGUAGAUAUUCGCAAGAACACCAGUGGCGAAGGCGGCUCACUGGCCCGGUACUGACGCUGAGGUGCGAAAGCGUGGGGAGCAAACAGG
rnacentral:rRNA from 1 species